ensembl:lncRNA
AGUGUGCUGGCGUUCUUUAGUUCAUCCACAGGUGUGUGCAUACUGGUAACGUCUGCUGGUGGUCACAUGACAGGGAUCGACAGGCCGAGCGGGCAGAGCAGGACCCCCGGGACCAGGCGGAGAGCCAGGACCAAAGGGCGACACGGGGAACCCUGGCUACCCAGGAGAGCCCGGAGACAAGGGGCCCGCGGGCAAAGGCGGAGCCCUGGGCCUGAAGGGAGAAACUGGCAGGAGAGGGGACAGCGGUGUGAAGGGGGCACCUGGACUGGGGGGACUCAAGGGUGACAAGGGAGAACGAGGACCCGAGGGAGGCCGGGGCUUUACAGGAGAAGACGGAUCCAAGGGGGCAAAGGUGCACAGGUUCAUGUUAGCAUAACCAGGAUCUGAGACUACUCUUGUGUGGGGC